AAUGGGUCAGCGACUUAUAUUCUGUAGCAAGGUUAACCGAAUAGGGGAGCCGAAGGGAAACCGAGUCUUAACUGGGCGUUAAGUUGCAGGGUAUAGACCCGAAACCCGGUGAUCUAGCCAUGGGCAGGUUGAAGGUUGGGUAACACUAACUGGAGGACCGAACCGACUAAUGUUGAAAAAUUAGCGGAUGACUUGUGGCUGGGGGUGAAAGGCCAAUCAAACCGGGAGAUAGCUGGUUCUCCCCGAAAGCUAUUUAGGUAGCGCCUCGUGAAUUCAUCUCCGGGGGUAGAGCACUGUUUCGGCAAGGGGGUCAUCCCGACUUACCAACCCGAUGCAAACUGCGAAUACCGGAGAAUGUUAUCACGGGAGACACACGGCGGGUGCUAACGUCCGUCGUGAAGAGGGAAACAACCCAGACCGCCAGCUAAGGUCCCAAAGUCAUGGUUAAGUGGGAAACGAUGUGGGAAGGCCCAGACAGCCAGGAUGUUGGCUUAGAAGCAGCCAUCAUUUAAAGAAAGCGUAAUAGCUCACUGGUCGAGUCGGCCUGCGCGGAAGAUGUAACGGGGCUAAACCAUGCACCGAAGCUGCGGCAGCGACGCUUAUGCGUUGUUGGGUAGGGGAGCGUUCUGUAAGCCUG
rnacentral:rRNA from 1 species